rnacentral:misc_RNA from 1 species
GGAAGCACAAGCAAUGGAGGGAGAUCAUUUCCGGCAUUAAAGCGAUUGCAUUUUCUUUUUAUGGAGAGUUUAGUAGAAUGGAAGGCACCCCCAGUGGAUGAAGGAGACGAAUCAUCUGUAUUUCCAUGCCUUGAAGAAUUGACCAUAGUUUAUUGUCCUCAGUUGACAAAAAUCCCAUUAAGCAAUCUUUCAUCGCUUCAAAUUCUGAGAAUCGAAUCUUGUUACGAAUUAUUAUUUGAUGAAGUACACUCCUUCCUGUCUCUUAAAAGCAUUGCAAUAGAAGAGUGUAAAAAAUUAACUUGUCUUCCAAGUGGG